AGUUGUGAUAGAGAGGAGAGGCAGGAUUCUCGCCGGAGUCCAGCCGUCGCCUGUGAAGAAAGAGAUCGAUUUCGAGAGAGAGAGAAUUGUGAACCAAAUAUUUUUUAGGUUUAACAUAAACCAGGGCAGAAUCGUCUUUUGGCAUUAAAACAAGGGUAGUUUUAAAAAUGCUCCCCUUAUAGGGGUAUUUUUAAAAAGGGAAUACCCAAAAGGGGUAUUUUUAGAAUUGUCC
rnacentral:lncRNA from 1 species